AGGAAUAACACGAGGAAACUUGUGCUAAUACCUCAUAAGUCUUUACGGAGAAAGCUUUAUGCGCCAAUGGAUGAGCCCGCACUUGAUUAGUUUGUUGGUGGGGUAAUGGCCUACCAAGACAAUGAUCAAUAGCUGAUUUGAGAGGAUGAUCAGCCACAUUGGGACUGAGACACGGCCCAAACUCCUACGGGAGGCAGCAGUAGGGAAUCUUGCACAAUGGGGGAAACCCUGAUGCAGCGAUGCCGCGUGAGUGAAGAAGGCCCUUGGGUUGUAAAGCUCUUUCGUCGGGGAAGAAAAUGACUGUACCCGAAUAAGAAGGUCCGGCUAACUUCGUGCCAGCAGCCGCGGUAAUACGAAGGGACCUAGCGUAGUUCGGAAUUACUGGGCUUAAAGAGUUCGUAGGUGGUUAAAAUAGUUGGUGGUGAAAUCCCAGAGCUUAACUCUGGAACUGCCAUCAAAACUUUUUAGCUAGAGUAUGAUAGAGGAAAGCAGAAUUUCUAGUGUAGAGGUGAAAUUCGUAGAUAUUAGAAAGAAUACCAAUUGCGAAGGCAGCUUUCUGGAUCAUUACUGACACUGAGGAACGAAAGCAUGGGUAGCGAAGAGGAUUAGAUACCCUCGUAGUCCAUGCCGUAAACGAUGUGUGUUAGACGUUGGAAAUUUAUUUUCAGUGUCGCAGCGAAAGCAAUAAACACACCGCCUGGGGAG
rnacentral:rRNA from 1 species